rnacentral:rRNA from 1 species
UACGGUGGGGGCAAGCGUUGUUCGGAAUUACUGGGCGUAAAGGGCUCGUAGGCGGCCAACUAAGUCGGAUGUGAAAUCCCCAGGCUUAACCUGGGAACUGCAUCCGAUACUGGAUGGCUUGAAUCCGGGAGAGGGAUGCAGAAUUCCAGGUGUAGCGGUGAAAUGCGUAGAUAUCUGGAGGAAUACCGGUGGCGAAGGCGGCAUCCUGGACCGGCAUUGACGCUGAGUGAGCGAAAGCUAGGGGAGCAAACGGG